rnacentral:tRNA from 1 species
UCCCUCUUAGCUCAGUUGGUAGAGCGCGUCACUAGUAGCAAGCCUCAUUGCGUGAUGACGAGGUCAGUCGUUCAAAUCGGCUAGCGGGAA